rnacentral:rRNA from 1 species
UACGAAGGGUGCGAGCGUUAUUCGGAAUAACUGGGCGUAAAGAGCGUGUCGGCGGUUUCUUAAGUCAUCUGUUAAAGAACUCGGCUCAACCGAGUGUAUGCGGGUGAAACUGGGAAACUAGAGUGCGAGAGAGAAGGGUAGAAUUCUCGGAGUAGCGGUAAAAUGCGUAGAUCUCGAGAGGAAUACCGGUUGCGAAGGCGGCCCUUUGGCUCGUAACUGACGCUUAAGCGCGAAAGCGUGGGGAGCAAACAGG